CAUGUGAACAUAGUUAUAGAGUUCUUGAAACAAACUUGACACAACUACACAUAAUUGCGCUCAGCAAGUUACAAAGUAACAAACACUACUAUUUGUUUACUUAUAUUGAAAAAGGCCUAAUUCGAAGGGCAAAACCGUUAUAUAUUAAUUUUCUCAAACAAAGUAACACACUUUUACAUAUACAUUAUCAUCAGUGUUUUGCUUCAAACAGCCAUUUUUAAUGUCUAAACAUUAUUUAAGUUAAACAAAUUUGAAGCUGAUUACACCCAUCAUCAUUUAUUUAUAUAAAUUGGUGUGCAGUUUUACAGUCGAACAAAAGACGAGGCUACACUAUAUUGUACGAAGGAAGGUCUACGUGCAUUUCUGCAAUUCUGUGCUCAGCAAUUUGAAUAUA